GAACGGGGACACNGAGUGAAACCUGGGUAGCCUCGCCGUACGAGUGCGACUGGAGGUGUCCCUGAAGCGUGCUUCCGGAGCUAACGCGUAAGUCGACCGCCCUGGGGAGUACCGCCGCNAAGGUAAAACUCAAUGAUNUGGACGGGGCCCGCACAACGGUGGAGCAAGUGGUUAAAUUCGAGCAAACGCGAAGACCCUUACCUACUCUUGACAUCCAGAGAACUUAGCAGAGAUGCUUUGGUGCCUUCGGGAACUCUGAGACAGGUGCUGCAUGGCUGUCGUCAGCUCGUGUUGUGAAAUGUUGGGUUAAGUCCCGCAACGAGCGCAACCCUUAUCCUUUGUUGCCAGCGGUUAGGCCGGGAACUCAAAGGAGACUGCCAGUGAUAAACUGGAGGAAGGUGGGGAUGACGUCAAGUCAUCAUGGCCCUUACGAGUAGGGCUACACACGUGCUACAAUGGCGCAUACAAAGAGAAGCGACCUCGCGAGAGCAAGCGGACCUCACAAAGUGCGUCGUAGUCCGGAUUGGAGUCUGCAACUCGACUCCAUGAAGUCGGAAUCGCUAGUAAUCGUGGAUCAGAAUGCCACGGUGAAUACGUUCCCGGGCCUUGUACACACCGCCCGUCACACCAUGGGAGUGGGUUGCACCAGAAGUAGCUAGUCUAACCUUCGGGAGGACGGUUACCACGGUGUGAUUCAUGACUGGGGUGAAGUCGUAACAAGGUAGCCAGUAGGGGAACCUGCGGCUGGAACACCUCCUAAUCUAGGAGGCAUUCGCGAGACCGGUG
rnacentral:rRNA from 1 species